rnacentral:misc_RNA from 1 species
GUGAGUCAUCGAAUCUUUGAACGCACAUUGCGCCCGCCAGUACUCUGGCGGGCAUGCCUGUUCGAGCGUCAUUUCAACCCUCAAGCCCCCGGCUUGGUGUUGGGGCCCUGCGGCUGCCGCAGGCCCCGAAAUGGAGUGGCGGGCUCGCGGCGAACUCCGAGCGUAGUAGAAUCCUAUCUCGCUAGGGAGGCGCGGCGCGCUCCGGCCGUUAAAGGAACUUCUUUUAACCCAAGGUUGACCUCGGAUCAGGUAGGAAUACCCGCUGAACUUAAGCAUAUCAAUAAGCGGAGGA